GUUAUCCAGAGUUAUCGUAUUUAUAUUUUUACCAUUGGGAGAAAGGGUGCAUCUGACUAACCAAAUCUAUUGCUACUACCCCUUUAGGCUACAAAGAAUGUCUCUCGAUGUGAGUGAUGUAUAGAGAACUCUGCAACCGUAGUCUCGUUCUAACCUUGGUAAGGAUAAUCUACUGUUCUAUUGGGGAGGCUCACGGAAUCUAGACAACACAAAGGAUGUUCGACCCGCACCUAUAAACCUACCCGUCCUGCUAACGAGAUGUGAUCUGCAAAGGUAACUCAGAAAUGUAACGUUCCUCGCUACUACCACGGUCCAGCUAGUCAAGGGAUAUCUAUGAGUACCCUAGCCUAAACACCACGUUUACGCUAACA
rnacentral:lncRNA from 1 species